CAUGUGUCAUCUAAAAAGGGGGGUGGGGGACAGUGCAGAAGGUGACGCUCCUCCAAGCAAACAGAGAGACAGAAACGUGCGCGCGAAGAAAUAGGGAGAGGAGUUGUCUACAGGCUAUAAAAUAUCUCCAUUGUGACAUUGGGAGGAGGAGAUCUAGAAAGAAUUGAAUGGUAGCUACACCCUGCGCGUAGAAGCGUAGAGUCACUAUAGGGAAGACUGGGAAUAAUUUUUUUGGCAAUAACAGAGGUGGGAGAGGGGCAUCGAAACCGAGAAAAAAAAUAGCCUGAGACAGUUUCUGUGUAAAUUCUGAUUCGUUGAAUGCGUGAGAGUAAUGUAUUGUCGUCAGCAUGAUCUUAGGUAGAAGUAAUAAGCGACAAUAACGAUAACUAAACGUAAUUUUCAACAACAGACACUCCUAUUUUGUCUUAUUAUUAUUAUUCGGAAAGAGACCCUGUCAUCUGAAAGCCGACAGGACACUGCAUGGAUAUUUUCUCUCAAAGCAUACAAAAAAAAAAAAACGACCUUACAAAGAAAACUACAUUUUGAUUGAUCUUGUGAGUUAAUGUGCGUGAUCUUGCACGCACGCACGCACACGAAACGAACCCGAAACAAAAGCAAACUCCUCCUCCCUCCGUUUUCUCUCCUCCUCUCCCUCCCCCAGUUCUUCUAUGCUCAGUUCGGUCUGCGUCUCCUCUUUCAAAGGGCGCAAGGGUGGGAACAAGUCAUCCAACAAAGCAUGUUACACUGCAGACAUGACUUGUCCGUCGGAAAGCGAGAAAAUCGUGAUCAACUGCGGGGGGGUGCGGCAUGAAACCUAUCGAAGCACCCUAAAAACGUUGCCCGGUACCCGCUUAUCUUGGCUUACCGAACCGGACGCCUUUAGCAACUUCGAUUACGACCACAAAAACGACGAGUUCUUCUUCGAUCGCCACCCAUCCGUCUUUUCAUUCAUCCUCAACUAUUACCGCACAGGGAAGUUGCACUGUCCGAACGAUGUGUGCGGCCCACUGUUCGAAGAGGAGCUGGCAUUCUGGGGCAUCGAUGAGACGGACGUGGAGGCUUGUUGCUGGAUGAAUUACCGGCAACACAGGGACGCAGAGGAGGCGUUGGACAGCUUUGAGAAUCCCGAACCGGAGUUGCCAGAAGACGACCCAGCUCUACCAGGAGGCGCAGAUGGGGACAUGAAAAGACUGUGCUUGCAUGAGGACGGAAGGAAAAAGACUUGGUGGGAAAUCUGGCGGCCCAGAAUGUGGGCCCUUUUUGAAGACCCUUAUUCCUCUAAAUACGCCCGGUACUGCGCAUUCCUCUCCCUUCUGUUCAUCCUCAUCUCCAUCUCCACCUUCUGCAUGGAGACGCACGAGGCCUUCAACACCAUCUACAACAAGACGGAGAACGUGACGGAGGGAAACGUGACGCGCGAGGUGAUUGUCUAUGAGGUGGUGACCGACAGCUGGCUUACGUACGUGGAGGGCAUGUGCGUCAUCUGGUUCACCAUUGAGGUGAUGGCACGCGUGGUCUUCUGCCCGGACAAGGUCGAGUUCUUCAGGAGCACCCUCAACAUCAUCGACUUCAUUGCCAUCAUGCCUUUCUACCUGGAGGUGGGGCUGAGCGGCCUGUCCUCCAAAGCCGCCAAGGACGUGUUGGGCUUCCUGCGCGUGGUCCGUUUCGUUCGCAUCCUGCGUAUCUUCAAGCUGACCCGCCACUUUGUGGGGCUUCGCGUCCUGGGCCACACGCUCCGUGCCAGCACCAACGAGUUCCUCCUGCUCAUCAUCUUCCUCGCUCUCGGAGUACUCAUCUUCGCCACCAUGAUCUACUACGCCGAGCGCAUCGGCGCCGACCCUGAUGACCCUACGGCUGCCAAACACACAAACUUCAAGAAUAUCCCCAUUGGUUUCUGGUGGGCCGUGGUCACCAUGACCACUCUGGGCUACGGGGACAUGUACCCCGAAACGUGGUCGGGGAUGCUGGUGGGUGCGCUGUGCGCCCUGGCAGGGGUGCUGACCAUCGCCAUGCCUGUGCCCGUCAUCGUCAACAACUUUGGCAUGUACUACUCACUGGCCAUGGCCAAGCAGAAGCUUCCCAAAAAGAAGGGCAAGCACAUCCCCCGGCCCACCAUGCCGGGCUCGCCCAACUACUGCAAGCCUGACGCUCUCGCUAUGGCCACCGCCUCGCCCCAUAGGAUCCUGGGUAAUGUACUCGGCGAGGUGAUCGGGUCUGGAGGCUUCGACUGCCCCCUUGCUCAAGAGGAGAUCAUAGAAAUCAACCGAGAUUCCAAGCAGAACGGCGACGCGGCCACUGCUGCCCUGGCGAACGAGGACUGCCCUACUAUCGACCAGGUGCUGAGCCCGGACGAGCGGAGUCCCGCGGGGCGAGGGGGCACCGGAGUAACCCGGGAACGCUACCAGCAGGACCGCGCUUGCUUCCUGCUCAACACCAGGGAAUUCCGCGCCACAGAUGGGAAUGUGCGGAAAGGUUGUGUCAUAUCACGCGUUUGUAUGUGGGCUUUUUCAUUCUUACACGUUACACUGUGUCUCUGUCCGACUCUCAAUGCCGCCCGAGUGUUGUGUUUGUGUUGUUGUCGUGUGUGGCUUUUACUGUGUUCUUUUUUCUGUCACUGGUGCCCUCUCUACCUCACUGACAUUCACCCUGACAGAUAGCAAAAGACACAUCGUCUAUGCACCGGAGCGAAAUUUCCCAUCUCACAGAUUUCUAUCAUGAUAUGAUAUGUACAUAUUCUAGCUAUAUUUAGGGCUUACAUAAUGGAUGAUUUUGAAUGCGAUGUUGUACAGCGGCCAUCUUUGGGUCAAAGGUCAGUGGGGUCAGCGGAGCCUCCAUGGUCACGGGAAUAGUACCUUACGAUACAUGCCGUGGCGGGAACAACAUUUUCAGCCAUAUCAUCAUAUGGCUCUCCUCAACAUUGUACAGUCCUCACAUUGACAGACAAAUGCGACAAACUAACAUCCAUGCAAUGCUGAUUGACGAAAAUGUGUAUCUUAAGUGUGUCGUGUUUCGAAAACACUAUUCCCUAGACCUCAAAAUGUGUGCUUUCAGUGCCUAGUGUAGUUAAAAAGGUCAGACGGGACUUCUUGGCUGUACUGUAGUGACCUGAGUGCACUCUGUCCCCAUAGGUUAACCCUUUGAAGAACCCUUUUUGGUUCCAGGUAGAACCCUUUCCACAGAUGGUUGUACAUGGAAUCCAAAAGUGUUCCCCUUUGGGGACAGCCGAAGAACCCUUUUGGAACCCUUUUUUUCUAAGAGUGUAGUUAGCUGCAUUUGUACAGUUAACUGCACUUGGUGAAUGAAAGAAACACCGAAAUACUGACUCACUGACUGAUGCCGACUUCACACUGCCAGACAGACACUAUGACAGACUGAUUGACCGACAACUGGCUACAUGCCAUCUAAGGUAAGCGAGCCUUGAGCUGUUGAACUCCUCUCUUGGAAGCCCCGGACUGCUUCGGUGUUGUGUGUUUUCAACGGUUCUUUUUUGUGCAUAAAACCUCAACUCAAUUCCGCAAAUCCCUCUUUAAAACCAAAACGGAGGCCAUUUUAAGCAGGAAGCCAGAAGCACUAGAGGUUUCAUAGGAUGACAUUCGGUGUUUACUGAAUGAAUCCUCCUCUCGUUAUCACGGUACAAGCGUUUGGUGGGGGGAAAGCUAUAAACCUUUAACUCCCAGAACAUUUAACGAUAUUUGUGCCAAUUCUACAUGCCAACCUUCAGCUCUCAGCAUUGCUGAAAAUAUUGGUAUCAGUAGGGGGACUCGAGGAUCACAGAAACUUGACUUCCCUCUGUAACCUGAAACGUGUAACAUUUGAUAGUAACGGAAUAACGUUGCAUCCGUGUGAAGCUGAACUAAAAAUAGAAUACCUCCGAGCAGCAUUGCCAUUCAAUCUCAUAUUGACCAAAAAUCUAAUUGAAUGCCAAGUGGAUAGGAAUAAGGUGAAGAAACCCAAAGGGAACACUGUAAAAUCACCGGAGGUUUGAUGGCCAUAAUUGCCCCAGCUGAAAGUAAUAAUGGCUUAACGAUGUGUUCCCUUUUUUUGUUUUAAAGUGGGAUUCCCUAUUGUGCUCUCAAACUGGUGUUGUGUGCUUUUCCCACAGUCUCGUUCUUAGAUCUCUGUAUGUGCAGUCCUUAAGUUAUUUCUGUAGUAUUUUAAGUCUCCCUACAAGAUAAGUGUCCGUUUGACCUCCUUCGCCCGAAAUGCAAUAUGCAGGGUUCAAAAAAGGUCAAAGGGUCAAUUACCUCUUUGAUUGCUCACUCGCAGUCAUUCCCUUUCCCCCUCAAUACUGUCCUCUCAUCUGUUCUUUUUUUCUUAUUUUUCUUAUUUUUUCUUUCUUUCUCUUUACCCUCUCCCUCACUCUCUGUGUAUGUUUCUGUGUCUAUGGCCAUGUUCAAAAUCUCUCUUGCCUAACUACUUACUAAAACUGCACACUGUAUACUAAUCGUACUACAUACAGUACUGUUUAGACAUGCUGUCAAAAACGAAUGCAGUAAGCAACAGCUAUCAACAUAUUAGGCUCAUCCAUACUGAGAAGAGGUCUUCUAAUGUGCAACCUCGCUUGUUCCCCACCACGCGUUCAUUUCGGUACAGCGCGUCCCCUUAUCGAAUGAUCAACUGUUGUCGAAAGUGGUCUGAAAAGCUGAUUCUCUUCCACAGUAGUGUGCAUUGAACGCUACUAAAAUCUAGUAGCUAGAUGAAAAGUUGAUGUGAGUGGUACAUCCUGGCAUUCAGGGCAUACUACAUUUUUGAAAUUUCACAUACUAUAAAAUGUCCUAUUUUCGGAUACCCAAAUAGCCUAAUAUUUAGAAUGCAAGAAUGGAUAUUUAGACAUGGCCUAUAUGUGUGUGUAUUAAUAUGUGUUUUGUGUAUGUGUAUUGUUUUGUGUGUCUCUCUUUGAGAUUUCUGUUCAUCUUAAUUUCUCUAGAUUCUAUUAGUUGAUUUUGUUGUGUAUGUUUAAUGUCUGUUUGUCAAGGACCAUUGUCAAUCAGAGUUCCCUCUGUAACCUGAAACGUGUAACAUUUAAUAGUAACGGGAUACCAUGGCAUCCGUGUGAAGCUGAUUUGAGUCAUUUGAGUCUGUUUCCGUUGUUUCCGUGUCAAGUGUGUAAUGUUGUCAGUUACUUUGUCUCUACAUGUCUCUCUCUACAUGUCUCUCUACAUGUUGGUGUGCUUUGUAGUCUGUUUGUCUUUAGUCAGACUGUCUAUCUACCUUUCCUCCUUUCAAUCUUCCCAUCACCUAUGCUUAUUUUUAAUAAUUGGGAUCAUUAUAUUAAAUUAAAUGCAUAAAUGAAUAAUACAUAUGUAUUUUUAUUUGAAAAAAUAAAAAAAAUAAAAAUAAUACAACAAAUAUUUUAACAAGUUACAUCCACAGUGUGGAUUUGAUUGUAUUUCAGUCUUAAUUUCAAUUGAAAUGAAUUAAGUAAUCAAAAAACCUUUGACCUUCAGAAAAUACAUUUACAAUAAGGUUACAUUUAGGCACCAUUGACUUAUUGCAUAAACAUUUGUCUUAAACUAAAUCAAAAAAUGUUCUUUGGAAAAGAAAAGCUGUCAAAUCAUUUGCAUACAGGAAAAUCUGGUCAUAAUGGACACAGUGGAUGGAUGGGUAAGAGACACAUUCAAUACCAUGUGUAGGUCCAACGGCUAAUAUGGGCACAAUCAGAAUGUGGACAAGAUCAGGACAAAGGACACGUUAGCACCAGGCCGCCAGUGCAGUGCAAGUGUAACUAAAGUCUGACUGUAGUGUUAAGUUUCUAGCAAUUUCUCUGAUGAAGACAUACUGAGUCAGUUAAUCAGAAAUGAGCGGAGGGAGCCACUUUAACCAAGACGUGUGACACGGAUGGACAGUUAAAAGGCAUAUCUUUGGCGUGACGAGAGAGAGAGAGAGAGACCAGAGGGAGAUCAAGAUAAACAUGAGGUUGGAUCUUUACGUUGUUACCAAAGCAGCCUCUUGGAAACUCCGGCCACACUUUUGAAGACUGUCUGACAGAUCACAAUGACGACUGACUGAGCAUUGCACUGACACACUCAGAGAGAAAAGGACUCCUACUGCAACAUUCCAGAAGACAUUAUAUUGUGACGCUCAACCAUCUCACAGUACAGUGACCAAUAACCGACUGCAGUGCUGAUCUACUGAGAAACUUAGAGAGUCAAUUAUUUAUCACUCACCUAUAAACGAGCGACCAGGUCUAACUAACUAUGUAGCAUCUCUGCUAACACUGUAGCAUUUGUUAGCUGGGAAAAUAACGUCAUGACCUUAUCCAUUGACAGUUUUGAACAGAGUGAUGCGGAAAGACGCACUAAAUGAAAACUUUACACGCCGUUUUCCUCUUGUGUUAUUUCCUUUUACAAGAAACUAUUGUACAUGAGAGACAAAGACAAGUUGCCCUCGAACUAUUCUUUAAAAAAAAAAAAAAAAAAUGUGUGACAGCAACUGAACCAGUUGCAGGUUAAAUGAAUCUGAGAACUGAAUUUGGACGUUUGAUAAUAUAUCUGUUCUCCCACCUCAUGGAGGAGUUCAUGACUUGUAGAAGUUAAGCCUUUACGUCCCCCAUUAAUUUCCAUCCAAUCUGGAAAGACGAUGCCAGGCCCUCAACAUAGUGUACUACGUACAUAUGAUAUAAGUACUACGUACAUAUGAUAUAAGUACUACGUACAUAUGAUAGAAGUACUACGUACAUAUGAUAGAAGUACAUAGAUGACCAUACCAAAAUGGAUGUAGCAUCAACAGAGGACCAAUUAGUACUAUAUCCCCCCCCCCCCCUGCAAAAUAAUUAUUGGUGAACAAGACUCUCUCUGUCUCUCACGUACUGACUUUGAAAUCCACGUGGCAUACUGUACCAAAGGUCCUAUGCAUGCACUUGCUGUAUGACUUGCCUAUAAAGUAACAACAGUACGGGCUGCUAUGGGAUGAACAUUCCAUAUAUCUAGUGCAAAGCUUUGAACUGCCCUUGACACCUUCAUUAUCGCCUCGCUUUGGUACAAACGUGCAAACUGGAAAUGCCACUCGUGUGUGUGUAUAUAACAGAGGUAAUUCCUGAGUAUAUUUUAAAACAUAUUUAAUUGAAUUAUAUUUAUUACAAUUACAUUCCUCUUGAACAAAAAAAAAAAAGACUUCAUGAACGUAUGAGUAUGACAGACACUGGUAUCGGUUUACUAUAAAUUGACUAACUUACCUGCUGCUCAAAUCAAUCAUGAGUAGAGCACAGACUGACUAAAGGUCAAGUCCCAUGCACAGACCUGCCAACAGGAGGAACAAGGUUCUAACUUAAAUACAGCACAGAGGAGGCCUCCAUAAUAAGGAUACCUUGAAGUCACAUCAAAGUGUAUUCGGUGGGGGAAAAAGUUCUCUGCUGUGGUUUUUACAAACAUGCACAUAAUACUAUUAUUAUUAUAUCAGAUGCAUAUAUACUGCCAAUGAGGAAAAUACGUCCCCUUAUGCUUAUACUGCCCCCCCCCCCCUCCCCAGACGCAUAUACUUCCCUCAUCUCUCUCUUGUUUCCCUUGCUGCCAAGCAAUGACCAAUGACUGCUUCAGGGUUAAGUCAAGCCUCCAACAAGAUAGCGAUGCCCUCCAAAUGAGACCAUUAAUAAAGUAAAACGGAGGAGAAAUGGACCAAGGAAGUAAAAAGGGGGGACGUGUACAAAGAGAACAAAUCUAUAUUUUGAUAAACAAAUCAGCUAUCCAUGGCUUCAGACGGAGAAGGAGCACCAACUGAAAACAGGGUCAAAAAUGCCAUUGGGAAAAGCAGUUGCAAACGUCUGUGAAUAUCAUGAAAACCUAUAUCGGAACUGGUUUGGCAAAAAAAGAAAGAGAAAAGUAGAGGAAUAAUAACAUAUGAGAAUGACGUUUUUGGAAGGUUGGUGUGGUGGUUUGACAUGAGCGACUGUGUUACAACAAUAAAGAGAAUAAUGGAGAGAGUCACAUGAGUGAGAGAAAGCUAUGGGGACGGCCCGGAGUGGGUGGGGCCCGGAGUGGGGACGGCCCGGAGUGGGUGGGGCCCGGAGUGGGGACGGCCCGGAGUGGGUGGGGCCCGGAGUAGGGAUGGCCCGAAGUGGGUGGGGCCCGGAGUAGGUGGACGCUGUACUAAACAAUGAAGAAGGAAAAAAAAGAAAAUGCAUUUUUGUGACUUUGUUUACCAGCAUGACUACCCUGCAUGACUGUCUUUUCUGCAAGCCCUUUGUUGAAGACAAGGCUGCUAGAGAUACAACAAAAAAAACACAUAUAUAAAAGGAAUUAUUAAAAAAAUGUUAUAUGCAAUUAAUAUAUAUGAAAAAAAGAUUAUAAUGAAAGAGAAGAGCUAUAUUUUGUUUUGAAAAAGUAAAAAAUGUGAAAAUUGAAACAUGUAUGUUUGCAAAAUACACACUGAACAAUGUUUUGUUAGAUGAAAUCUCUCUGCUACUACUGCCCCACAUUCAUUCAUUCCAUUUUAUUGACCUCUGCAGUACCGUCUGCUUUUAUUAAGCCGUACUUAAGUGUUUGUUGCUUCUUGUUUCAUUUUUGUUUUUCAUUCUAGCCAGUUAUAAUUCUAUCUAAAAUGAGCAUUUAAGGGUUAAUUUCACUCUUCAUUUUUGAGAAGUGAUCUUAGCCCUUUUCAUCGAUUCAAAAACUCAACGUUUCCCUUCCUUGAAUCAUUUUCACCACCACUGUAGCAGCCAUUUUAAAUCGAUAGCGCUCCAUACUGUAUGUUUGAAGGGUGUAUACAUUACAAAUAUUCAAUGUUUGCUUUUAGUUGUUGUUGAGAAUAAUAGACAAUUUGUCAAAUGAUUGUAGCAGGGCAAAUUGAUACCAAUGCCCGUUUGGAGAAGUUUGUAACAGGUUGUUAUUGGAAGUGGCUGGGUGGUUAUGUUCUGGGGAAGGCAGUCUUCUUCCAUCAGUCCUCAGGGGAGAGACGGUGAAAAGGGGGUUAGGCCGGGAUUUAAUCUGAUCAGCGGUAGAUCCGUGUUAUAGUCUGCUUGAGAGUUAAAGGUAAUUUCCAAUUGAGCCGUGAACGCGGUCUCCGCGAACGUGGGAACGUGGCCUUUAAAAGGUGCAUAGCUGACAACGUGCGAUUGGAUUGAAUCACAGACUUGGGCCCGGGGUUCAAACGAAUGCAGAUGAAUGACCUGUGCACUGCGAUUGAUUUUUAAAGGCGAUUUAAACUGUUUGAGUCGACAUCUGUGGCUUUUGCAGCGAACAUUAUCCGUGUCUUUUGAAGUCAAUUGCUGUGCUGGAUUGAAUCCAGGGCCUUCGUUAGUUAUCCAAUAAAGUGCAAUAUCUGUUCAUGAGAGAGAGAGAGAGAGAGAGAGAGAGAGAGAGAGAGAGAGAGGUCAAGAGAGAUUUGUUACUAGUCGAGAGAUUUCAGGUUUGCAUGAAACAAACUGCCAUUCCAAAGUUGUGUCUGUUUUAAAAGAGACUCAGGUGUGUCGGUGGUUUGUGUGGAUUUAGGUGGUUUGCUAUUUUCCGUAUAUAAUGAAUUCUAGUAUAUAGAUAAAAUAAUGUGAACACCUUACAGUGACGUGAAACGCAUGCAUUGUGACUUGAUUGUCGAUCUCCUGAGGGAACGCGGUCUCGCCAUAUCCCAGGCUCCUUUGUUGUGUGUCAUGAAACCAGUCCGGAUGUUAUGAACACUGUGCCGUGUCGUAGAGCAGCAACGUCUUCCUCGGAGAGACAACUGAACACUACACACACUCUCAGUGUCAGCAUGGGUGUGUAGAGGUAGCUUGUCCUUGUUGUUAGGUGGUCAGGUCUUGCAUUCGUUCGUCAUCCAUUCGAGAACCAUCCAGCUGAUAGUCGUCGACGGGCAGCAGCUCACGGUAGCAUACGUAAUGUUAUAACACGCUUCAUACACGUUAUAACAUGUUAUAUCACACUUCAUACAAAGACCCAGAGCUUCCAAACUGAUGUCAUUGAAGUACUUUAAAAUGGAGGGGUGAGAUUGAAAGAACCAGUGGCCACUACUGUGCAAGUUGGGUAGGUGUAGAAAUGUGUAUUUCACUAGAGUUCCCCACUGUUGAACAGGUUGGGUGAAUGUUGGUUUUCCAGACACUAUCUUUAAUAACAGUGGCUUUCUCUUAAGGGUGUAAGCCCUGGCAGGUCCAGGAUCAGCCCAGGCAGCUGUAAAAAAAAAAAAAAAAAAAAGUACCUCUGUCCAUCCCUAAUCAUGCAAUCUAAUUGGACUAUGACCACUAGACUUAAAUGAAUGAACUACAGAGUCUACUCACGUAUUUAGUUCAAUCUAUGUUGGUUUCUACAGGGUCUACAAAGUUGUCCACUUUCCCGCGAAAAUUGGUCCAUGAUAUUUUUCUUCUUCCUCAAUGUGUUUUGUUCACCUUUUCCUUUCAAACUAUGAUUUCAGGAUUUUUUUUUUAGAAGGCAUUAAGCCACUUAGGCUCUGGGGGUCGCGAACUGUAGUGUUGAUAAAUAUUCCAGGGGUAAACUUCCAGUAACCACGGUUCGUGAACUGAACACACUCGCAAAUUCCCAAGAAUUUGAGAUAUUUUUGGGGUGGUUAUGUUUUAAUAUAGCACAGUAUUGUUAAUACUUUCUCUGUUAUUGACUGAUGAGUAUUACCUUCCUUUAUUAUUAUUAUUAUUAUUAUUAUAUAUAUAAAAAAUACAUGUGACUGCCCACUUCAGGCUAAAAACAAGAUGUCUUUUUUUUUCUCGUUUUCUAUUGCACAAUACUGCUAUUUGAUUUAACAAUGUUGAACACAAUGGGUUACAGUGUUAAGAGUGCUAAGUCUGUUUUAUGUUCCAUUUACAAAAUGCCUUUUUUUUUUUUACAACCAAGGGAUAUACGUAGAUAUGGACUUCACAACCAAUCCUCAACAACAGCUACUGUAGAUGACACAUUAUGUGAGAUUCACCCACACCCUGCAGUUAAGUGACUUUAACAUAUCCACUCAUGGUAUUAUGAAGUCCUUAUUUAUCCUCACCGACCCUUUUUGUAUACCUGGAUGAUCUAUCUACAGUCAAUGCAUUCUCUGAUUUCCGUUUGUUCUCAUUUUGAAUUGAAGGUUCACUGUAAAUACCACUGGUACUAUUUAUGUACUAUCAACAAUUUUUUUGUGUGAUAGAAACCAGAGACAACUAUGCGGUUUAACUACUUGUAUGGGUAUACUAUGGGUAAGGAUAAAUACAUUGCCAAGCUAGUUUAGAGUUGCAAGUUGUCCCUAAGAAAACAAACAACUAACUCUUACCCUAAUGCAGUUGUAUUACCUCAACACAUAGUAUAAUGACAGACAGAGAAACAUAGAUAUACCUAUUGAACCUAUUGUAUCAUAACCAUAUGGAUAUAUACAGACACAACUUAAAGGCAAAUACAGUAACACAUUAUAAUAACUCAUGAACAAGCCAUUAGAAAUGAUGAUACAUGUUACUGAAAUGCUUGCAAAUCAAAAAUAAUUAAAAAAACGUGUUUAUUAAUAGUAUGUAUACUUCUUACAUAGUUGAAUGCGUAUACUUGAAAGUUGUUAUUAAGGGUCACCACAAACUCAUUAAAGACAUAUUAUUACCUGUGGACCCUCAGUUCACGCAUGGCCUUGAGUUGAAAUAUCGACAGACACAUGUAAACCUAGUCAUCAGCAUUCCAAAGACAAAAUGUAUCUCAUUUUUUUCACAACACUUUGUAAAAACAGACUUAGGUGUUAUUGUUUGCUGCCAUGGUAGGAGAACGAAUAGGAGAAAAGAAGUGGUCACUGAAACACAUGGUCGAGACUAAUGCUGUAUUUUAUUUUUGAAAUGUUGGAAACACAAAAGUAUUAUUCAUCAAGAAACUGUAUAAAGUAUAUUUAUUUCGAUGGAAUGUUCAUGAUCUAUCUUUUUAUAUUUUGGAGAAAAAAACAGAAACAUAUCAAUAAAGUAUCAUAAUUGCACAUCGUUUCGACUAUUGAGACUUAAAAUGUAUGAAUGUCAAUGCGAUCUAAUGUGAACGGAAAUCUCCUUAGCAGCUUGAACGAAUAAAUGAUUAAAGUCAUGAACUGCUUUUUCAAAGACACUCAAUUGCUUCAAAUCAUUGAAAUGAACUUCAAAUAAAUGAAAAACAUUU